AUUGAACGCUGGCGGCGUGCUUAACACAUGCAAGUCGAGCGGUAACAGGCGUAGCAAUACGUGCUGACGAGCGGCGAACGGGUGAGUAAUGCUUCGGAAUCUUCCUUGUAGUGGGGAAUAACCUGGGGAAACUCAGGCUAAUGCCGCAUACGAACCAUGGUUGAAAGCGGGGGAUCGCAAGACCUCGCGCUAUAAGAUGAGCCGAAGUCGGAUUAGCUAGUUGGUGGGGUAAAGGCCUACCAAGGCGACGAUCCGUAGCUGGUCUGAGAGGACGACCAGCCACACUGGGACUGAGACACGGCCCAGACUCCUACGGGAGGCAGCAGUGGGGAAUAUUGGACAAUGGGGGCAACCCUGAUCCAGCGACGCCGCGUGUGUGAAGAAGGCCUGCGGGUUGUAAAGCACUUUUAGUGGGGACAAAAAGCCGAGGGCUAAUACCUUUCGGUCUUGAUUUAACCCAAAGAAAAAGCACCGGCUAACUCUGUGCCAGCAGCCGCCGUAA
rnacentral:rRNA from 1 species